UGAAGCGCGGGUAAACGGCG
rnacentral:piRNA from 2 species